rnacentral:lncRNA from 1 species
CGGCUCUUUAUCGUCCGAGUUUUAUUAGCGUAAGACUCCAUCUGGGUUGUACUGUGGCUCGUGUAGCUGUCUUCAACUUCCUGUAUCGAAGCUGUUUUACCUUCGAAUCUUCCUGCCAUGAUUAAAUCAGAAAUUGAGCCUUCAAUUAAAUUGUGAAAAAAAAAUCAUUUUCAUCAUCACAUUCAUAGUAAGAGUAUUAUUAAAUCUAAUAAUAUUUAUAAGUUGAAUAAAAACAUGGCGAAAAACAAAUAAAGUAUGUAGUUUAAAAGCAAAGAAAAAGAAAACAUCGUCAUCAACUCCACUUCUUACUCCCCUUUUGUUCAACAAAUUUGCCAAAGAGGUAGUGAAGUUGGUUGGCUACCAGAUCAUUAUUUUAAGGCUUUGGCUCGUGGAAUUGAGUAAUUACCUUCUCUUGAGACGCCAUUUCAGCAUCAAAGUAGAUAAAAGGUGAUGAGUUCCUGGUUGAUUGCCAACUGGAGUAGGCACCUACUUCCUCAGAAUUAACUCUAUAUGUAGGCAGACUUCCUAAAUUAAUUACAUAUUUUUAAAUGACAUUAUUAAUUUCAGAGUUUUGUUUAAAAUGAAUCUAGAAAAUCAAAGAAGGAAAGGGAAAGUGUAGGUUGGGAUAAACUCUCUCAACAUGCUUGAUGAUCUCUUGAUAAAACAAUAUUUGGCCUACUAAACAUACACAAAUCGAUUAAAAACCAAGUUAAUGUAUUUAUUUUUCAAAAUAUAAUUUCUUUUACUAUUUAAUGAAAUGAUAAGGAAUGAGGUUCUCUCAUACCCAUACCUACAAUAUAAUGCUGCCAUUGAGUCAAUUGAUUAUUCACAAUGAAAUGAUAUUCAUACAACCGCGAACCGCCAAAGCCUAACGAGCCAAGUACUUCCGCACUAUCUUCUUUAAAUGCCAUUUGUCAAAGUGGUUCCACAGCUCUCUUCGCCACGCUGACACCUGUAAUCCCAAGACUCCACCGUCACCAUGGUUGUUUGCCGCACCGAACCAGCGACUCCGUCCUUAAAGCACCCUAUGCGAUUCCCUCAGCAGCCACACUGCUCGAUUGCUUCCCUUUCUCACUUCUCACUAGUCAGUUCAACACCCAUU